GAGUUUGAUCUUGGCUCAGAUUGAACGCUGGCGGAAUGCUUUACACAUGCAAGUCGAGCGGCAGCGCGGGGCAACCUGGCGGCGAGCGGCGAACGGGUGAGUAAUGCAUCGGAACAUGUCCAUGUCGUGGGGGAUAGCCCGGCGAAAGCCGGAUUAAUACCGCAUACGCCCGAGAGGGGAAAGUGGGGGACCGCAAGGCCUCACGCGAUUGGGUUGGCCGAUGUCCGAUUAGCUAGUUGGCGGGGUAAGAGCCCACCAAGGCGAUGAUCGGUAGCUGGUCUGAGAGGAUGAUCAGCCACACUGGGACUGAGACACGGCCCAGACUCCUACGGGAGGCAGCAGUGGGGAAUUUUGGACAAUGGGGGCAACCCUGAUCCAGCCAUUCCGCGUGAGUGAAGAAGGCCUUCGGUUGUAAGC
rnacentral:rRNA from 1 species